rnacentral:rRNA from 1 species
GAUGAACGCUGGCGGCGUGCCUAAUACAUGCAAGUCGAGCGAACAGAUGAGGAGCUUGCUCCUCUGACGUUAGCGGCGGACGGGUGAGUAACACGUGGAUAACCUACCUAUAAGACUGGGAUAACUUCGGGAAACCGGAGCUAAUACCGGAUAAUAUAUUGAACCGCAUGGUUCAAUAGUGAAAGACGGUUUUGCUGUCACUUAUAGAUGGAUCCGCGCCGCAUUAGCUAGUUGGUAAGGUAACGGCUUACCAAGGCAACGAUGCGUAGCCGACCUGAGAGGGUGAUCGGCCACACUGGAACUGAGACACGGUCCAGACUCCUACGGGAGGCAGCAGUAGGGAAUCUUGCGCAAUGGGCGAAAGCCUGACGGAGCAACGCCGCGUGAGUGAUGAAGGUCUUCGGAUCGUAAAGCUCUGUUAUUAGGGAAGAACAAAUGUGUAAGUAACUAUGCACGUCUUGACGGUACCUGAUCAGAAAGCCACGGCUAACUACGUG